GGGUUACAAAUGGAUGAGAUUGCCUAGGUAAAAAAUAUCAAGUGAAAGCAGGGAGACCUGGAACCUUAAAUGUCUAAUGGUGGAAGAUGAACCUGAAAGGCAGAUGAAAAUAGAGAGCAAAAGUGGUGAGAGGAAUUGGGGAGACUGUGGAAUAUCUAAAGCCAAACAAAGAUGGUUUGGAAAAGCAGGCAGUGAUAACAACAUUAAACAUUGCCAAGAGGUCAAACAAGAACUGAAAGAUGUGCAUUGAGUUCACCAAAGUCACAGUCAUCGUUUUUGCAACUAGGAUACUGCUGGAACAUCAAGAAGCUCAGUGAAUAACAGAAGAAAAUCCAGGUGCCAGUAGAUCCUGUCUUUGACACAUGGAGGGACACCUCCUCCUUGAUGAGCCAACAUGAAGGAGGACUCGGAAGAGAGAGAGAAAGUCGCUGAUACAGAGUCCUGCCCUAACUUGGAAACUCUGCUCCACAACUAUCUGCAGAGGAGACAGCACUGAGAGGAAGCAUUUAAGCCGAAUACAUCCAAGUAGAUGUGGAUAAAAACCCAAGGAACUUUUCCUAAAAGUAAGGCACUCAUCCAGCUUUCCUGUUUGCUAACAUCAUCAUGCAAAACCCCGUGAGUUUUCAAAGGUUAUGGACCAGCCACUGCUUCUUUGUGAGGCGGGGAGACCUGCACCACGGCCACAUCAUCAAAUUCAAUGGCAUGUCCCAAGGCAACGCCUGUCCUUUCAGGCUGAAAGCUUCAUUUGUCUUCAGUUCUGCCGAGACCCCAGAGACAGAGCUGCUUUGACAGCCUCCCACUCUCUGAGGGGUCACCUGUCGCCUUGCCCAGGUCAAGGGAGGUCAGCUUCUCAAUGGGAAUUUUUUAAAAAAGGAGGCAGGCACGGGUCUGUCCAUAAAAGGACCUCUUUGAGGUUGGUGGAAAAAAAAAUGCAAUGCAUUUUGUGUUCCCAGUUAGACCUUCUGGAACGAGGCCGCCUGAGAACAGGCCUGUGAACAGUUCCUACUGGAGGACGGCCAACAGAGGCCACCCAGACGUUUUUCACAGGACCUCUAGCUGCCUCUGCUAACCCAGAGGCAGACGAAAUUGGAGUCAGGGCGGCCACCUCCUGCCCCCGUCUCCCCACCCCCACCCCUGGGUGGCUGCUGAGCAGCACAGGAGUUUACUGAACCAGCUGCCUCCUGACAGGAUAAAGCAAUUUAGGGUCAAGGACAGGAAACCAGAUUUGCACAGGCAAGCACAGUGAAAAGCUGCCAUUCGCUGAUGACCAUAUGGAGCCUUCACUCUUCUUUUCCUCCCUUCUCUUCCACACACGACCUCCCACACAACAACCCUUUCACUCAAUAUACCUGCUGGAAGAGAGUUCAGUCACAUUUUGACACAAG
rnacentral:lncRNA from 10 species